AUUGAACGCUGGCGGCAUGCCUUACACAUGCAAGUCGAACGGUAACAGGUCUUCGGAUGCUGACGAGUGGCGAACGGGUGAGUAAUACAUCGGAACGUGCCCGAUCGUGGGGGAUAACGGAGCGAAAGUUGCGCUAAUACCGCAUACGAUCUAUGGAUGAAAGCGGGGGACCGUAAGGCCUCGCGCGAUUGGAGCGGCCGAUGUCAGAUUAGGUAGUUGGUGGGGUAAAGGCUCACCAAGGCGACGAUCUGUAGCGGGUCUGAGAGGAUGAUCCGCCACACUGGGACUGAGACACGGCUUAGACUCCUACGGGAGGCAGCAGUGGGGAAUUUUGGACAAUGGGCGCAAGCCUGAUCCAGCCAUGCCGCGUGCAGGAUGAAGGCCUUCGGGUUGUAAACUGCUUUUGUACGGGACGAAAAGACUCUUUCUAAUAAAGAGGGUCCAUGACGGUACCGUAAGAAUAAGCACCGGCUAACUACGUGCCAGCCGCCGCGGUAAUAC
rnacentral:rRNA from 1 species